rnacentral:lncRNA from 1 species
CUCUUUUGUCUACUUUGAGAUACUCGUAUCCUAUCCUGAAUCACCCACGCCCAGUCCAAUGAAUCACGAAGAAAAUUUGUGCCAUGAGGCCUAGCCUCAAAAGUCUCGAACCAACCAGUAGGAGAUCGAUAUCUUCUACCAUAUAAUGCCUUAAAUGGAGUCAUCUAAAUACCCGAUGAAAGUUUUAAUUAUAUUUAAACUCCACCAAAGUUAGAAAUUAGUCCCACUAACACCCAAAAUCCUACACACAAGUGCGGAGCAUGUCCUCUAGGACCUGAGUAGUUCGCUCUGAAUGCCCAUCAGUCUGCCCAAAAUCCUACACAAAGGCAGUGCUAAGGUCAACCUGGGUGCCCAACUCCUCCUGAA